rnacentral:rRNA from 1 species
AUUGAACGCUGGCGGCAGGCCUAACACAUGCAAGUCGAACGAGUGGCGGACGGGUGAGUAAUGUCUGGGAAACUGCCUGAUGGAGGGGGCUAACUACUGGAAACGGUAGCUAAUACCGCAUACCAUCAGAUGUGCCCAGAUGGGAUUAGCUAGUUGGUGGGGUAACGGCUCACCAAGGCGAUGCUCCCUAGCUGGUCUGAGAGGAUGACCCGCCCACUUGGAAAUGGUAACCGGGCCAGACCCCUACGGGAGGCAGCAGUGGGGAAUAUUGCACAAUGGGCGCAAGCCGGAUGCAGCCAUGCCGGGGUUAUUAAGAAGGCCUUCGGGUUUUAAAGUACUUUCAGCGGGGAGGCGUUACCCGCAGAAGAAGCACCGGCUAACUCCGUGCCAGCAGCCGCGGUAAUAC